rnacentral:lncRNA from 1 species
CCCCAGCCAGCCCCACGUCAUUUGCAGCGUCCGCUAUCCCUCCCCCUUCCCCUCCCCGGAAAGAACCGGACGGCCUGGCAUCCGUUGGCGAGGAUCUACACAGGGUCCUCCUCUCGCCUUUUCCCAUCCCCCAACACACACACACACACACACACACACACACACACCUUCCAGGGUAUGGGGAAGGGAAAAGAGCAGAUUCCCACGCGUUCCUCUCCCCCGCGGCAGAUCUCGCCUCCGGCCGGCACCUUCCCCGCAGGUGAAGGGAGGAUCAGGCGCCCGGGAGGGGGGGAGCUGCGAAAGGGGCGAGAAUGGCAGGAAUGAAUGCAUGCAUGCAUGCAUGAAUGAGUAAAUCAAUAAAUGAAUAAGUAAAUAAGUAUAAGUAAUUAAAUAAGUAUAUAUAAGCAAAUAAAUAAUAAAUAUAAAUUAAGUAAAUAAGUAUAAAUAGGGAAAUAAGAAUAAAGAAACAAACAAACAUACAAAUAAACAAACAAAUAACAGUUGGAAAGAGGUUCCCCCAAAGUUGGCAGCGCACGGUUUCCACGUUGCAACAACCCUAGACUUGCAAACGUGCUGGGCGGUUGGACUGAACCCAGCGCAUCCACCCACCCACGCAAACACACACACACGGAGGCACCCUCCUCCCGCCCCUUAUCUCCACAGGACGCGAUCAUCCAGUCCAGGGACUUGUAACACCGCCCGGGAGGAAGCAGGCGCGACCCUCGACAGGUGAAGCUCGCCUGCACUUCCCCAGGUGGAGCAGCCGGAGCCCACCUACCUAACCCCCCACCUGCACCCCCACUCCCCGGACUCCUUGCAAGCGGCUUCGUGCCCCGCUUUGCUGCCAGUGGCCCGGGAAGGAGCCCGAGAAAGCAAACGAAAGGAUGACUUGGCAAAGACAGAGGCGAGACGGUCGGGAGGCGUUGGACGGGUGACUCCCUUCGCAGGAAUCCGGGCGAGGGAUCCAACGAGGUGGAGGGGGGCAAGCUUGGAAGAAGCAUUCGAGCCCCCCACCCCUCCCGCUUCAUCUGCAGAUCCGGGACCCACCGGAGAAGAGGCUCCCCGGGGAAAGGCGCACGGCACGCCGCUAACUCUCGCUGGGGAAGGGGCUUGGGGUGGCCGCAUGGCUUCUUGGAGGGGGACAGGCCCCUAGGGAAUCAGCAGACACCCCCCAUCCCACCCCACCGAAUGGGGCCGUAGUUGGACACCGACCCUACGAUGCUCGGAGAAGGAGGACACCGCUGCCCACCCCUUCUUCUUCUUCUUCUUUCCAUCAGCUGAAAACCGUGCAGGGGGUUGCUUAGCAGAGUUUUUUGGGGGGAGGGAAGAGGGCGGCCGGAGUAAAAGAGAAUUCGUCCUUGCAAAAAUGGGGGGUUGAGGCGCCUGCUCCCCACCCCACCUCCCUAAAUCCCCCCCCCCUCCAAGAGGAGGAACCUCUCUUGAAAAAAAGAAAACCCUGAAGCAACCUGGGACAGGUAAACUGCAGCUCACCUCCUUG